rnacentral:SRP_RNA from 1 species
GCUGAGCAUGGUGGCGCGUGCCUGUAGUCCCAGCUACUCAGGAGGCUGAGGCAGGAGAAUCGCUUGAACCCAGGAGGCAGAGGUUGCAGUGAGCCGUGAUUGUGCCACUGCACUCCAGCCUGGGUGACAGAGUGAGACUCUGUCUCAA